UGGGGAAUAUUGCGCAAUGGGCGGAAGCCUGACGCAGCAACGCCGCGUGCGGGAUGACGGCCUUCGGGUUGUAAACCGCUUUCAGUAGGGACGAAGCUUUUGUGACGGUACCUACAGAAGAAGCACCGGCCAACUACGUGCCAGCAGCCGCGGUGAUACGUAGGGUGCGAGCGUUGUCCGGAAUUAUUGGGCGUAAAGAGCUUGUAGGCGGUUAGUCGCGUCGGAAGUGAAAACUCGGGCCUUAAUCCCGAGCUUGCUUCCGAUACGGGCUGACUAGAGGAAGGUAGGGGAGAAUGGAAUUCCUGGUGGAGCGGUGGAAUGCGCAGAUAUCAGGAGGAACACCAGUGGCGAAGGCGGUUCUCUGGACCUUUCCUGACGCUGAGAAGCGAAAGCGUGGGGAGCAAACAGG
rnacentral:rRNA from 2 species